GCAAGCUAUGGGAGGGACGGUUGGAGUGUAGAGCUCCCCAAAAGCUUGCCAGCAGAAUGGGUUAUUCAGGUGGUAGUGGGGUACUUGCACUGGUCUGAGUUGCACACCGGUAAGAGAGAUUCCUGAACAAGAGUAUACAGGCGAAACAGAACUGAGAUGCAGGCUUUCGGUUGACCCUAGGUGUAUUCCGUCAGUGUUGAGACUGUUCUCAGGGGAGGAUAUAGUCACGUCAUGGACCAUCACUCCUUGACAGUUGUCAAACUUAAGAUGGCACUGUGAGCUGUUGACAAUAGUGAUACCAGCUACUACAACGUUGAAACUACCAUAAAACCUCAAUGCCUGCAUCAGGUUUAAUCUGUGGCAUUCUUUCAAACUCCACAUCGUACUGCAGGAAAGCAUCCAAAAAACGUCUUGUAAGAGCUGUGGAAAAGGUUCUGCAUUUGUAUAUCCUGACUUGCUUGGUGUACUUUGUUCUCUACCAUGACUUAAAAAAAAACUUGGCCAGCUAGAUGUGUAAAUGGAUCUGAUUAUGCUGCUAUAUGCAACAAUCAUGUGAGAAGGAAAGAACAAGCCAAACAGGGAACAGAUCGAAACACAUGCAAACAUGCAAAUAAGACUCCAGAAAAAUAGGGCGCUGGUGACAACUUUUCAGGCUCUGUACUGCAGAUCAUGUGAGACAGUGAGAGUAAAACUGGUAUGAUCGUAGGCACAUUGAAAAGCUCACCAUCAUAAGCUGUGGUGAUUAUGGCAAAA